UACGGGGGGGGCAAGCGUUGUUCGGAAUUACUGGGCGUAAAGGGCUCGUAGGUGGCCAACUAAGUCAGACGUGAAAUCCCUCGGCUUAACCGGGGAACUGCGUCUGAUACUGGAUGGCUUGAGAUUGGGAGAGGGACGCGGAAUUCCAGGUGUAGCGGUGAAAUGCGUAGAUAUCUGGAGGAACACCGGUGGCGAAGGCGGCGUCCUGGACCAACACUGACACUGAGGAGCGAAAGCCAGAGGAGCAAACGGG
rnacentral:rRNA from 1 species